rnacentral:rRNA from 1 species
GACGUAGGGCGCGAGCGUUGUCCGGAUUUAUUGGGCGUAAAGAGCUCGUAGGCGGCUUGUCGCGUCGUCCGUGAAAACCUGCAGCUCAACUGCAGGCUUGCGGUCGAUACGGGCAGGCUAGAGUUCGGUAGGGGAGACUGGAAUUCCUGGUGUAGCGGUGAAAUGCGCAGAUAUCAGGAAGAACACCAACGGCGAAGGCAGCUCGCUGGGACGGUACUGACGCUGAGACGCGAAAGCGUGGGGAGCGAACAGG